CCUACGGGGGGCAGCAGUGGGGAAUAUUGGACAAUGGGGGAAACCCUGAUCCAGCGAUGCCGCGUGGGUGAAGAAGGCCUUCGGGUUGUAAAGCCCUUUAGGUUGGGACGAAGUUUAGUAGAAGAUAACGCUAUUAAAUUGACGGUACCGACAGAAUAAGCACCGGCAAACUCUGUGCCAGCAGCCGCGGUAAUACAGAGGGUGCGAGCGUUAAUCGGAUUUACUGGGCGUAAAGGGUGCGUAGGCGGUUUUAUAAGUGUGAUGUGAAAGCCCUGGGCUUAACCUAGGAAGUGCAUCGCAAACGGUAGAACUAGAGUAUGAGAGAGGGUGGUGGAAUUUCCGGUGUAGCGGUGAAAUGCGUAGAGAUCGGAAGGAACGUCAAUGGCGAAGGCAGCCACCUGGCUCAAAACUGACGCUGAGGCACGAAAGCGUGGGGAGCGAACAGGAUUAGAUACCCUAGUAGUC
rnacentral:rRNA from 1 species